UACGGAGGGUGCGAGCGUUGUCCGGAAUCACUGGGCGUAAAGGGCGCGUAGGUGGCCCGUUAAGUGGCUGGUGAAAUCCCGCGGCUCAACUGCGGGGCUGCCGGUCAGACUGGCGAGCUAGAGCACGGUAGGGGCGGAUGGAAUUCCCGGUGUAGCGGUGGAAUGCGUAGAGAUCGGGAAGAAUACCAGUGGCGAAGGCGUUCUGCUGGGCCGUUGCUGACACUGAGGCGCGACAGCGUGGGGAGCAAACAGG
rnacentral:rRNA from 1 species